rnacentral:rRNA from 1 species
GAUGAACGCUGGCGGCGUGCCUAAUACAUGCAAGUCGAGCGAACAGACGAGGAGCUUGCUCCUCUGACGUUAGCGGCGGACGGGUGAGUAACACGUGGAUAACCUACCUAUAAGACUGGGAUAACUUCGGGAAACCGGAGCUAAUACCGGAUAAUAUAUUGAACCGCAUGGUUCAAUAGUGAAAGACGGUUUUGCUGUCACUUAUAGAUGGAUCCGCGCCGCAUUAGCUAGUUGGUAAGGUAACGGCUUACCAAGGCGACGAUGCGAAGCCGACCUGAGAGGGUGAUCGGCCACACUGGAACUGAGACACGGUCCAGACUCCUACGGGAGGCAGCAGUAGGGAAUCUUCCGCAAUGGGCGAAAGCUUGACGGAGCAACGCCGCGUGAGUGAUGAAGGUCUUCGGAUCGUAAAACUCUGUUAUUAGGGAAGAACAAAUGUGUAAGUAACUAUGCACGUCUUGACGGUACCUAAUCAGAAAGCCACGGCUAACUACGUG